rnacentral:misc_RNA from 1 species
GCUGUGAUCGACCUGGAGG